AAAACAUGUCUCUUUGAAAAUUUAAUAAUAAAGAGUUUGGCCUGCUCAGUGAAAUUUUUAACAGCUGCGGUAUUAUAACUGUACUAAGGUAGCAUAAUAAUUUGCCUUAUAAAUUAGGGCUAGAAUGAAUGGUUUGACGAAAAUUAUACUGUCUCUAUUUUAAUUAGUAGAAAUUAAUUUUUAUAGUGAAAAAGCUUAAAUAAUUUAAAGGGACGAGAAGACCCUAUUGAGCUUUAUAUUAGUUAUAAUAAAAAUAAUAAAAUAUUAUUUAUUUAGUUAAAUUAAUAUUAUGUUAAUUAUAUUUAUUAUGUUUAAUUUUGAUUGGGGUGAUCAAGGAAUAAAAUAAAUGUUAUUUAACUUCCUUAAAAUUUUGUUUUUUUAGAAUAAUUAACCAAUAUGAUAUUGCUUAUAUAAUAAGUUACCAUAGGGAUAACAGCGUAAUUUUUUUGGAGAGUUCAUAUUAAAAAAAGAGAUUGCGACCUCGAUGUUGGAUUAAAAUAACCAUAAGGUGAAGAGGCUUUAUUUGGUGAAUCUGUUCGAUUUUUAAAAUUUUACGUGAUC
rnacentral:rRNA from 1 species